rnacentral:tRNA from 1 species
ACUAUAUUAGUAUAAAAUAAGUACAUUUAACUUCCAAUUAAAAAGUUUAUCUUAAUAUAG